rfam:Citrus clementina cultivar Clemenules unplaced genomic scaffold scaffold_7, whole genome shotgun sequence.
GUUGAGAGGAAUGUUGUCUGGCUCAAGGUCAUGGAGGAAGAAUAAAUAUAUGAGCCCUAAAUUAUUCUUGGACCAGGCUUCAUUCCACUAAAC